UAUAUUCUUUAUAUAAGUUUGUUUUCUUUUUCUUUUUAUUGUUCCUAGUACAGUAACCGGCAAGCACAGUUAAACUGAACAAGGUUAGCACUGAAAUCAAUCAUCUUUCAGUGUAAUUUAUCCCUUCAUUCCACCCACCUAAUCGCUGUCUAUCUCCGCCCUGCACUCGUGUCCCAAUUACCCUAUUAACACUAUAAUUCUAUGGUCUGCAUCGCAUACUAACUAAGCCAC